rnacentral:misc_RNA from 1 species
AGCAGCCGCGGUAAUUCCAGCUCCAAUAGCGUAUAUUAAAGUUGUUGCAGUUAAAAAGCUCGUAGUUGAAUUUCGGGAUCAAUUAGUCGGUCGUGCCUCUGGUACGUACUGGUUUUAUUGGUUCCUCCCUUCUGACGAAACAUGAUGUCAUUAAUUUGGUGUCGUGGAGAAUCAGGACUGUUACCAUUGAAAAAAGUUAGAGUGUUUAUAGCAGGCUAACGCUUGAAUACAUUAGCAUGGAAUAAUGAAAUAGGACGUUCGACCCUAUUUUGUUGGUUUCUAGGAUCGACGUAAUGAUUAAUAGGGAUAGUUGGGGGCAUUAGUAUUCAAUUGUCAGAGGUGAAAUUCUUGGAUUUAUUGAAGACUAACUACUGCGAAAGCAUUUGCCAAGGAUGUUUUCAUUAAUCAAGAACGAAGUUAGGGGAUCGAAGACGAUCAGAUACCGUCGUAGUCUUAACCAUAAA